UACGGAGGGUGCAAGCGUUAUCCGGAUUCAUUGGGUUUAAAGGGUCCGCAGGCGGGAAAUUAAGUCAGUGGUGAAAGCCUACAGCUCAACUGUAGAACUGCCAUUGAUACUGAUUUUCUUGAGUAUAGUUGAAGUGGGCGGAAUGUGUCAUGUAGCGGUGAAAUGCAUAGAUAUGACACAGAACACCGAUAGCGAAGGCAGCUCACUAAACUAUUACUGACGCUCAGGGACGAAAGCUAGGGUAGCGAAAGGG
rnacentral:misc_RNA from 1 species